rnacentral:lncRNA from 1 species
GAACACUGACUUGCUGGCCUUACUACUGGAGUCGAAUUUGAAGGAGAGUGCAGAGCAGGGAGGAUCCGAAACCGCGAUGACGACGGAGGACGUGAUCGGGGAAUGCCGGCUGUUCUACCUCGCCGGGCAGGAGACAAUGACGGUCCUUCUGACGUGGACGAUGGUCGCGCUGAGCAUGCACCCGGUCUGGCAGGCGCGGGCCAGGGAGGAGGUGUUACGAGCGUUCGGCAAGAGUAAGCCCGACUACAACGGCUUAAGUCGGCUCAAGAUUGUGAGUAUCCAAAAUUCGCGCAUCUCUCUUGAUCAGCGGGCAAUAACGAGAUACAAGUAAUGCUAACUCAUAAACAAUAUUUUGCUGCAGGUGACGAUGGUUAUAUACGAAGUCCUUCGCCUCUAUCCUCCCGCAACUAUGAUCUCGCGGGAAACAUACAAGGAGAUGAAGCUCGGAGAUGUCACAUACCCGCCAGGCGUAGAACUCGUUCUGCCCAUAGUGUUCAUCCACCGCGAUCCCGAAUUCUGGGGCCCCGACGCCGGGGAAUUCAACCCCGAGAGGUUUGCAGAGGGAAUAUCCCAAGCGUCGAGGGUUCCGGGCGCCUUCAUCCCCUUCAGCGGCGGCCCGCGGGUGUGCGUCGGCCAAAGCUUCGCCUUGCUGGAAGCGAAGCUGUGCCUCGCGAGGAUUCUGCAGCAUUUCUCGUUCGAGCUUUCGCCUUCGUAUGCUCAUGCUCCUUACAAUGCCCUAACUCUCCAUCCCCAGUUUGGUGCUCCAAUCAUCAUGCAUAGGUUAUAGAAUGAUCGUUUAAAUGUUAUGCGUAAGAGGAUGUCUGAGGAAUAUUAUGUUCCCAGUUAUUAUAUUUAUUGUAUGUACCUCUCCUGUAAUAAAAUAAAUUGGCUUUUGAUUAAUAAUGAGAUGGGGAGAUGGUUUUAGUUUUCAUUUGGAACCGUAAAUGCAGUAGUGUAUCUAAACUAGCCAAAUCAUCGUAGUGGAUAAAAAAUCACACUUUAAAAGCUUAUAAAAAUAUUUGGGGACUUGAGAGAGAAAAUAAACAAACACACACACAAAGUGAAAGGAUGAUAUUUCAAAUUGAUAGUGAUCAUCUCUUAAUUAAUACUUUCUCCCAGCAACUCAAUAAUGAGAACACUACAAGCUCGGAUAUAAGCAAAAACUAUUUAUUCCAUAGGUACAAGUUCAAAUUGUAAACAAGAAUUACACUAAUUUUGCAAUUGAAUGAAAAUUAAAUUAUUUUCAGAAAUAAGAAAAAUUGCGUUUGAAUGGAUAAGAUGGAAUAAGAAAAAUAGUUAGUAGUUAUAAAUAAAAAAUAUUGAUAUUGCCCUUUAUAUUAUAUUUAAAUUUAAAUUUUAUAUUUAAGUUUUUAAAUUUAAAUAUAUAACUUUUAAUUUUCAAAAAAGUUAAAAUUUAAAUUUAAAUUUUUAAAAUCUCAAAUUUGAAGUUCUAAAGUUUAAAUUUUAAAUUUAAGAUCAAAUCUAAAUUUAAAAAUAUAAAAUAUCACAAAUUUAAAAUUUAAAAAUUAAAAAUAUAAAUUUUUAAAAUUUAAAAUUAAAAUUAAAAUUUUUAAAUUUGAAUUUUUAAAAAUUAAAUAGGGGUGGGAAGAGUCGUUCCCACCCCUAUUCCCACAAAGGUGGGAAUAACUAUCCCACCCCUUAACGGACUUUUUUUUUGUGUUUGGAAAUAAAAAGGGGAUAACCCUUAUCCACCCUCUAUUGUCCAGUGAAAGAAAACAUAUAAAAAUAUUCCGAUUAGAAAAAAGAAUUAUAAAAUUUGGUUUCUAAAUAUUUCUAACAGCGUAGAUCAUUUCUCAUGGGGCCAAUCAUCGAAUUGGAUAUUUCAUCAUCAAAAAUAAUUUACAACCAUAGAUGUCUCCCUAAUUUUGAAAGCACAGAAAGCACAUGAAACUUGUUUAGUACACAGGAAUAAUUUUUUUUAUAUAAAUAUACAAACCCAAAAAAAAAAAAGACGGCCCUGUUCAGCAGGUCGGCCCAGCCCGCGCUACUGCGGGGCAGACGGCCUGCAGUGGGCGAGCGGGCCUGGUCUGCCUCCUGCUGCAGGACGGACCGGGCCUGCCAACUGCUGCAGGGCGGGCGGGCGAGCCUGAAAGCGGGGCCCGGCCGGCACUCCCGUAGCAGGCCUGGCCGCGCUUGCCCCACCCGCUGCGGGGCGGGACAAGGCAAAAAUAAAAAUUAAAAAAAAUACAACAGAUGUAAUCUUUUUCUAAUGCACGAAAUAGAGAAAAAAAAAAAACUGAUGUUAAAAAUAGGAAUAAUUUCAUAGAUGCCCCUCUAGAAACUAUUAAUUUCAUCAAUACCCUUCCAAAAUUAAUAAUAUCACAAAUACCCUCCAAAAUGUGAAAAAUUAUCAUAAAUACCCUCCUCUAGUUAAGAUUCAUUAAAGCCCAUUUGAAUCGGAGUUAAAUUUUUAAAAUACCAUUUUUACCCUUUAUCUCUUUUUAAUAGUAGAAAUACUAAUAGGUAUUUCAAAAUAAUUUUUGUAAAUCUAAAUUUGAGUAUUUAAUAUAUAAAUAGUUAAUUAAAUUAUUAAUAUAUAUUAAUUAAUAAAAAAUAUAUAAAAAUUGUAUUUUAAAUAUAGUAUGUUUUUAUCUGAUUUUGGUUUUGUUUUUGGUUUUGGGUUUCGGUUCAGAUUCGGUUUAAAUAUAGACCAAAACUAUAUAACUGAAUUUACAUACGACGGGAUUUUAUUUUUUGGUAUCUAUAACUAAAACUAUCCCCUAUUCAGCAUUGAUUAAACUUAUCCCAUUUUAAAUCGAGUUUAGAUAAAAUUCCGUAUCUAUAUCAAUUCACAUUCCUAAUUAGUAAUAGUAAUUUUGAAAUAAAUUAUAGAUUUUAUUUUUUUCCUAUUUAAAAAUAAAUCACAUAAUUGUUUUGUCGAUUGAAAUAAAAAGAGAGUUUUGUUCAAAAGCUAAAAUAUAUUAUAUUUCAGUUUUUUAAUACACUUAAUGCAGAUAAAAUUAUCGAGAAUAAUUUUGAUUAAAAAAAUUUUUAAGUUUUCAAGAUUAAAGAAAGAUCGGAUAAUUCCUUAACAUUAUUUUCAUUUAAAUUUUAUAUAUAUUUAUUUAUUUGAUAAAAAAUAAAUAGAGCCAUUAGAUUUGGUAAAAUCAUCAAAAAAAACUAAAAAAUUCUUUUUUUUUUAUACACUGAAAUUAGGUUUUUUUUAUAAAUAAAAAGUUAAUGGGAUAUCAACUAAAAAAUGAAAGUUGAGGGAGCUGUUUCAAAAUGCAUAUAGUUGAGGGGGUUUCCACACAUUUUUAGUUAAAAGAUAUUUGAGGGUAAAUAAGUCAUUUUAAAAAUUAACCCAUCUUUAACCAUGUAAUAACUAUAGUAAAACUAACCUAACUAACAGUAGGGGUAUUAAUGAUAAUUUUUUGUGUUUAUAGGGGUAUUGGUGAUAAUUUAAACUUUAUAGGGGCAUCUAUGAUAUUUUAAACUUUGGGAGGGGUAUCCAUGAAAUUGCCCCUUAAAAAUAAAACGCAAAUCCCACCUUCUCCUACGGAUUGAGAGUUUUCUUCUAUAUUCACACUCCAAAAAUACCGCGAACGUAGAUUUCAACGUAGAUAGAAAUCUCUGAAAAAAAAGAAGAAAAUCACAUGCAUUGAGAGUACUCUUUUAUAUCCACAUUUUAAAACUCCGACCUCAAAUCUUCAGGAACAUUAGUGAAAAUCUCAUAGAGAAAAAAAAAAACCGAAAGAAAAAAAUUGUAUUUAUAAAUUAUCGAUGCCCUUUAUUAUCUUCUAAAUCAUCCCGAUUAGGAUUAGAGUAUCUAUUACAAUAUAAUAAAUAUUAAUAAUAAAGAGAUGAAUUUCUUAACUAAUAAAAAAUAUACAGUCUAUUCUUAUUUUUAACUUAUUAGGAUAAAUAUUCAUCCACAUCUUAUGUGGAUUGGAUUGAAUUUGAUCUGGCCAAUACGGAUACAACACAUAGCAGCAUGUUUGUUGGUCUAAAGUUUUAAGAACUUUCGUUUCUACCACAAAUAAAAUUUCUUUAAGAAAAACAUUCAAAGAAGCAACCAAAAUUAACUAAAUUAUACAUUCACUUUAAUUUUCUCAUUACGAUUUUAAUUAUAAAAAAAUUAACCCCUAAACUUUCUCGCGCGUAAAAUUUGAAUUUCCAUGUUAUUUAAAUAAGCCUCCGUGUGAGGAGCAAAAUUAGAAUUUGCUUUGUUAAAAUAGAAACAGUCAUCACUAAAUUAAGACUGGGAUGAAACUUCAAUAAUUUAGAAAAUUUGAGAAUAAAAUCUAGAUAAGAGUCAAACUUCCACGGAUGAAGUUGUUCUAAUUAAAAUUUUGAGAAUAGAACUAAAAUUCUCAUGAAUUUUUUGUUUAAAGGUGAUUAAUAUUUUAAAAUAAGAAAUGUUUAUUUCAGAAAUAAAAAAGAACUGCUUAUUUCAUAAAUAGAUACAAAAUUCAGGUAUAAGCUGGAACUAGAGUAAUUUUUUAUUUGGAUGAAAAUUAGGUUGUUUUUGAGAAAAAGAUAAAUAAUAUUUGGAUGGCUAGAUUGGAGUAGCGGAAAGUAUUAAUUAAAAUAUUUAUUAGCUAUGAACAUUAUAUAAGAUAAUUAAAAUAAUUAAUUAAUUUAAUUAAUUAUAAAAUACAAAUUGAUUUUUUAAUUACUUAGUGAAUUAUUUAAUUAGUUAGAUGAGUUAUUGAGAAAUUAAUUUAAUUACUUGACCAAUAUAAAUAUUGGUUAUUAAUUGAACACAUUAAAUAAUUAAUUCUUAAUGAGCUAAUUGACUAUAAAUAAUAAAUAAACUAAUUGAUUAAUUAACUAUUUAAACAAUAGAUAAUAAUUCAAAUAUAUUAAUUAGAUUAAUUUAUAAGUUAAUAUAAUAAUUAAAAUUAGAUUUUAACUUUAGCUAAACAUGUUUCCAUUUGGAAGCAAACUUAUUCCUAAAAGAAAUUUUGGGGAACAGUGAGGAUAAAAUAGUCUUUUCACGAUCUAAAAAGCCACGCGUGAUAUACAAAGACCAUCUCAUGUGGUGGUAAAACAUGUUGUACUUGACCCAAGGGUGUGGUGGUGGCCUACCAAGGGUUCCAAUCAAACCCGUAAACGACCCGGCGUUUUGUUAGAUAUAAUAAGAGAAAACUUCAAAAACAUAUAGUUAGAAAUACAUAUAGUUUUUAUAAAUGCAAUAUAAAUAAAUGCAAUAUAGAUAGAAAUACAUAUAGGUUUUUUUUGACAGAUAGGUAGCACGCUACCCGAUUCGUUUAUUUCAUUUAGAAUAAACUUAGCUGGAAAUGUGAAUUAACUAGGAUUCAAAAUUGGGUCUCGGGUAUCAACCAUCAAACCCUUUUGCCACUUGCGCUAGGGACGGUCGGUAGAAAUACAUAUAGUUGAAACUAUAGUAGUUGUAACUACAUAUAUUUCAUUUGGCUGGAUGUAAUAGAAAACGCUGCAAUUACAAGUAAUUUGUUUGGUUAUAAUUAUAAAUAAUUUUUGAAAUAAUUUGGUAAGCAUAUGAUACCUCUAAAAUUUAGAAUAAUUUCAUAUAUAAAAUAUGAACUACGCUGAAGUACUAUCAACAGCACCGAGCGCUUAGUGCCAUUAGAUUUUCCGCCUUUGGAUGAAAAAAUAUACGAUUAGGAUUAUGUGAGCCCUCUAGGGUUGAGUGAGUUAUUGAUUGAAUAGUAUAAUCUAAUGGAUAAAAACAAUCAAAGAGUCAAAUCUAACGGCGGAAAACUUGGUAGCACCAAGCAAUUGGUGCUAUCGAUAGUAUCCCAGCCGGACUCUAUAAAAUAUAAUAGAAUGUAAUCUGAGGGCAUAUUUGAUUCAUAAUUGAAAUAAAAAAUAAAAAAUUAAAUUAAAUUGUUUCGGAAUUAAAAAUACAAUGAUGAAUCAUCCAAAAAUAUUUGGUUUAUUAUUGGAAUAAAAAUCGAAAUGAAAAUUUAGAAUUUUCGAGAGAGAAUUUUAAUUAAGAGAAAGAAAAAUGAUGAACGGAAAGAAGAUAGAUGUUGGUGAAAGUGGAUUUUGAAUAAUUUACUUUGAAAUGGGCCAAUUUGGAAUUCAAAGCCGGAUUGAGCACCAACUAUCCCUAGCGCAAAUGGUAAAGAGCUUGUGGUUGGUACCCGAAGUCCCAAAUUCGAAUCCUAGUUGAUUUACAUUUUCAGCUAAGUUUAUUUCUAAUUAAAAAGAAAUAAACGAAGCGGCUAGCAUGCUAUCUUUCUCUGAAAAAAAAAGUCGGAUUGGGCCAUAAAUGGAUUUAGCCCAUUUUCAUUCCGGAGUGGAAUGGGAACUAGAAUCCGAUUCUUAUAAAACAAACGACAACUAUUGAAAUUAAUUAAUUACAUUUUAAUUUCAUAGUGUAAAAUAGGUGAACCAAACAUAUCCUUAAUUCGGUUAUAUUAUUUUGGGCAGUAAUUAGACUCGAAAGGUUAAGAGGAUUAAAUUUGACUCGAAAGGUUGAGAGGAUGCUAAAGCAAUUAUAGGAUGAGUGAUUUUUUAGGAAGCAGAGUGUUUUUUAUAUCAGAGCAAAUCACCAGUUAGAAAUGUAAGAUAAAUUUCAACUGAGGUGAGAUGAGAUCAUACAGUGGGCAAAGUGCGACUCUCCGACUGUCGGCCGUUGUGAAUGGGAAGAUUAUACAGCGAGCAGAGCGCGGCUUCCCGAUUGACAGCUAUUGUGGGCAGAGCGCGACUGUUCACAAGGUCGGUAAAGACUAGCGAGAUGAGUGACACAUCGCCUGAUAUUUAUAAGGGGCAAUUGCCUAUAUACCUCUGAAAAGUGCUCAGUUUUCUUAUUUACCCCUCUUAGAAAGCUAAUAUUGAAAAUACCCUUCUUAUGUUCCAAGUCUUUCUAAUAUACCCCUGGAGUUAAGUUCCGUUAGUAAGCUGCCGUUAUCUCUGUAAAAUUACCAUUUUGCCCAUUCUAAAUAUACCCUUCUACCGUAACUAACUUUUCUUAUAUAUCCUUUAUAUAGCGAAUACUUUUCUUAUUUGCCCUUCAAAUAUCAAUUAAUUAAUUAAGCACGUCGGGAGCGAGCAGAUGAACGGAUGAGAUCGAUCGCAGCUAAACAAACCUUGGUGGUUGGAGACAUAGUUAGUUAAUUCAGAUUUGGCAAAAAUUCGGUACGGAUAAAAUUCGGAUAAAAUUCGUCUUUUAAUUUUUAAAUUUGUUGAAAAAUACGGCUAAAAAUUGGAUUAGGCAAUUAUUCAGAUACGUAAUUUUUACAGGUAUUAUGUGUUCACCAAUUAAAAAUUCGGAAUAAAAAAUUCGAAUAUAUAAUAAAUAUAUAAUAAUUAAUAUACUAUAUAUAUUAUUAUUAUAUUAAAUAUAUAUAUAUUAAAUAUAUAUAUUUAAAAUUAUAAUAAAUAUAUAUUAAUAAUAUAUAAGUGUUAUAUAUUUAAAAAUAUUAAUAAACUUAGAUUUGUGCAAAUCAGAAGACUAAUUUAUUCCAAUUAAUCUCAGAUAAUUAACUAUUCCACCCUAAUUAACUCUCCUAAUUAACUCUUCCACCCUAAUUAACUCUCCUAAUUAACUCUUCCACCAUAAUUAACUCUCUCAAUUAACUCUCCCAAUUAACUCUCCCAAUUGACCCUCGUACAGCACCCCUCCUCGUCCCCUUCCUCCGGCACCGACAGCACCCACCUCGACCACCGUCGCCACUCCAAACCUCGAGGGUGGCGACCCAUGAGGCAAUAUUGGUGAUCGGAGCUGCUGUUCCCGACAGAGGCAGAGACGAAGAACGGGUUUCUCAGCAACGAAGAAGGCGUCCACGGAGAUGGUGUCGAGGUGGAAGGCACGAUGAUGCUACCGGUGGUGAGGGAGACGAUGUCGACCCGCUCACAGCGAUGUUGAAUGUGACGAGAAGAAGGAGGAGGACGACGACGAGAUCUGCACAAAUCGCUGCGGCCCUCUUGCUCUUGGCGCCGGCCAAGGCGGCGGCAGAGGAGGAGGAGGACGACGAGAGCAACGACUAGCGGGCCGUUUUUUUGUGAGAAUGAGGCGAGGCUUCUUGGGGGCGAAGGUGGAGGCGGAGGAGCCGGCGCCAAGGUUGGCGGUGGUGGUGAGCUGCUGGCGCUCGCGGCGGCGGGCGGCGGGCGGCGGGACCCAAGUUAGGAGAGAGAGGAUAAGUUGGGAGAGAAAGAAAGGAUAAAUUAAGGAAAUGGUUUAAUAAGGUAGGGGUAAAAUAGGUAUUUUAAUUAGGUUUUAACUCUGGUAUACAUUUAAUCCAUGUUUAACCCGAGUUAAACUAAUAGGGGAUAACUGCGGAGGUAUUUUGGAAUAACGGUAGAACAUAUGAGGGGCAUUUUAGAAAGAAAAAAAAAAAUAGAGGUAGAUCGAAUAUUUCCAGACGCAUGAGGGAUAUAUAGGCAAUUAUCCCUAUUUAUAAAUGUGUUUGAGCGUGACAAAAACUUAAAGGAAGAAAGAAUGUGGUACCCUAAGGAUUCGAAAUAAUCAUAUAUAUAGGAUAUAAUAUUAUUAAAUAUCUCAAUCCGGCUAUAACAUUACGAGCGGUGAGGUUAAGAGGGUUAAAUUAUUAGAACUAAAAUAGUUCUAAAAUAGAUGACCAUCUUGAAAAGCGAGAUUAUCACACAUAUUAGUCAUCUACAUGGACGUGUCCUAGUACUGACUUUCAUGGGAGGGAUACUUUUAGAUUUAAGCCUAGGCCCAUGACCUAUAUCUGCUUGGUGAUUUCAGUUUUGGAACUCUGACUCGACGAUAGUUUUGCCAUGCGACUAAUUUAAAAAUUAAGUUUGUUGAGAAAAAAUGAAUGUUUGUAGUGGGUAGCGGAUCUGAAACCUGUUAUGAAUUUGCUUUUUCGUUUUGCCCGCGACAGAUUGAUUGUACUCUAAACUUUGUAAUCUUUUUUUUUGCUCGAUAGUGAAGCUCUCUUUAUUCGCCUGUGACUUUUUUUUGUAAAGAAUCUUAUAUAAAUCUGUGUGUUCUUUUAUUUUCUGUUUAUGAUUUGUCUACUUUGUGUACGGCAUGUUCGUUUCUGUUUGUACGUUUGUCAUAGCACACUCCGAUAACAGUAAUCGAUGUACUCUAACCCUAAAAAAAUAACUAGAUUUGGAUGAAAAUUUAGUUUGAAAAAUUAGAUCUAUUUAUACAAAUUAUUUUGUUCGGAAUAAAGUCUGAGUCGGAUCCUAAUAAUAAAAAAAAAAUCAGACAAACUUGAUCAACAACCCAAUUUUCCAAUAAUACAUUAAAUAGUAAAACGAGAUUAUAUUAUAUUAUUUUGAGAAGAUCAAUGCGGCGUUUCUUUGAUUAUGAUAUUUUUAUUUUGAAUGCAUGAAUUUUGUUCUUACUUUUGUCGAUCUCGUCGCUCAUUCCUUCGUGUCCAAGACAAGUAAUUUAGACUAUUCAAACACUUAACACGCUUAUACAAAGAAUUCUCCGUCCCCAUACCUUUUGUCACCUAUAAAAAGGGCCCAAUUAUAACUAAUUUGUCACGUAUCAUACAUAACAUAUCAUGUGCAUAGAGUGUUGAUUAAAAGGAAGCAAUCAUAUAACCAUGUUUUGGAGUGUGGUUCUGUUAUUAGGGUCUGCAGUGGCUGCAGGUUUUGUGGUGGUGUUCCUGAGAUUGUUGAAUUGGGCGUGGCUGCGGCCGCGGCGCCUCGAUCGCGCCCUGCGGGCUCAGGGCCUCAAGGGCACGACGUAUCGGUUCGUCUAUGGCGACGGUGCCCGCAUGGAGCAGCUCCGCAAAGAGCGCGAGGCGAAGCCCCUCCCGGAUCUAACCCACGAUAUAAUCCCGCGCAUCGCACCGCUGUUUCAAGAAGCCAUGAGGGAAUAUGGUACAUAGUUUUCUUCGGUUUUGCACGGUUUUGCAGAUUGUUGUUGUUCGUAUUUUGUUGCAUGCGUACAUAUUUUUAUAAACUUUUCGAUUCAUACUGCUUUGAGAUUUGUGGGGCUUUAUAGGUUUUUUGGAUUGUACUGGUUUGAAAUUCUUCGGCGGCUUCUUUGUUAAGCUAUAAGGAAAAGUUUAAUUGGAGUUUUGGACUUAAUUUCCCUUGUUAAUAUAUGUUUCAUGCACCUCAAAUGUAAAGUUUGAAUGUAUAAAUGCCUUAACACACCAUUUCAUUUUUUAAUUGUAGCCGUAACUGCAUGGUAAUUAUAACCGAAUGCAAAUUCAAAUUUGAUGUCGGAUUUAAUAAAUUUGGAUUCUGCUGAAGCUGUUUAAAUUACGCCCAAUUGAUCGCAGUUUCAACCCUAGCAAUAACUUUUACCAAAAUACAAGCUUAACUACAUCCCAAUAACCUUUUAAAUAUAAAAUUCUUAUUUUUUCUUUAUAGAGCAUAAUAUCAUCAUCCUAUAAAUAAAUCGAUAAAAUUAUAUAAAUGUAUUUCUCAACCGCAUACAGCUACACAAAUUAUUUAUAGUUAUAUUAUUUUCUACUAUAUACAAUCAAAUAAGAUAUAUAAAAUUAUAAUUAUUGUAUUUUCAAUUACAUUUACAAUUACAUCUAGCUAAACAGGUAAAUAAUUUUACUAAUAACUGAUUUUUUUUUUAUGUUUUUAAAUAAGGUAAAAUGUCAUUCGUUUGGCUUGGAACCCAUCCAGCUGUGACCAUAAUGGACCCAGAUUUGGUCAAGGAGGUUUUAUCAACCAAGUUUGGACACUUCCAGAAACACAAACCUGACUCACUAUCAAGGGUUGUGGUCACUGGUCUUUUACUUCAUGAAGGUGAGAAAUGGGCCAAUCACAGGAGAAUCAUCAACCCAGCUUUCCACACGGAGAAACUAAAGGUAAAUAUUUUGUGGUACUUUUAAAAGCAUCAAGAACUUGAUGCACAUAAGUUUUCUGCCGGUAGACCUAUUCUUUUAAUAAUUUCCACACGUUAGAUCAUGAUAUUCAACGAAUCACCUACUCAACCCUAUAAGUCCACCAUCAUCCUAACUGUACAUCUCUUAAUCUAAGGGCUAAAAAUCUACCAGUACCAAUGACUUGAUAUUUUUAGAAGUAUAGAAGUUCAAUUUAAUCUAAUCACUUCCUUCAAUAUCCCAAGCCUAGUUUUGCUUUAGUUUAACGUAAAAAUAAAUUGUUGGAACUGUUGGCUUAAAUGGAUCAGCAUCCUGCCCUGUGGCGGGAGGCCAUGUGGGCCGAGUCAUGUUCGAAAUGGCGUGAGGCUGGGUUGGGCCGAGUCAUGUUAGAAGUGGCGUGAGACCAGGUGGGCCGAAUCACAAUCGAGACCCGUGGGCGUUGUUUCUGUACGCUUUAAGUGAAUUGGUUGCGUAUUUCUAACAGCUCGAGCUUUUGGGAUUAAUGGUUAGCACCAACGAUCCGACAGGAACGUGCUCACUUUGAUGCUUUAGAAAGUUGGAAAUGUUCAAAGUUACAUUUUGGACUAAGGAUUUGGACCGGUUGGUAUAAAUAUCCCAAAUUCUAUCAGAACCCGAAUUCGAACAGAAUGAAUUUAUCUGACGCUAAACAGAACCCACCGGAUUUAGAUUUGAGUAUAGAUUUUAUUUGUAUCCUUACCCAAAUAAAUUUUAUAUUAUAUAAUUAUAUAUACGAAUGUUGUUAUAUUUGAAUUUGUAUUUUAAAAAACUAAAUUUUUAUAUAUAAUAUAUUUUGAAAUAUGGUAAAAAAAAGGUUUUCGAGAUCGAAUUUGGGUUUUCGGCUUUUGGUCGCUCAAAAUUCAUCAAAUUCGGAUUCGGAUUCAAAUUUUGGAUUUGGCUGUCUGAUUCGGUUUCGGGUUUUUAAAAAUUUACUACAAAUCCCUGCUUUGGACCAUUGGACUUGUAGCCUUUUCCAAUCUCCUAAAGUAUCACAAUUUUUGUUAGCGUAUAUAGGCAAUUCUUUUAUUUUAUUUUUAUAUUCAAAAGUCAAUUUUAAUGCAUGUGGUCCAAAAUUUUUAAAUAAUUAUUUUAUAAUAUUUAAUAUGGUAUCAAAAUUUAAGACAAUCUAUAUGUUGGAUCUAUCAAAAAAAUUUUAAACUCCGACAUAAACGAGAGUAUAAAUAUUAAAAAAAAAUUAUUCUCUAACACCUUUUAUUUUUUUUGGAAAUAAAGGAUUGUCUUAUAGUAUUUAACACACGCUCUUAAGAUACACAAAUUAUUUUGUACACCACAUUACACAUACUAAUAUACAUUAGCGAAUAUUACAAAUACCAAAACUUCACUUUCAUAUUUUCUAAUAUUCAAAUAUCAAUUUCAGAAUAUGCUAUGCAGUUUGUUGAAUAUAAAUAUUAAAAAUAUUAUUUUUUUAGUAGUUUAAGCUUUUGACUAACAAUAUUUAUUUCAUAUUAAUUUAACAUAGUAUGAAAGUAGAAGAUUCCGAAUUUGAGUUCCGUUAUAUUACUUGUUUAUUUAAUUUUUAUCGUUUAAUUUUAAUUCACGCUGUGCACCUAUUAAAAUGGUCUCCAAACAAUUGUUUCAUAUUAAUUUAACACGGUCCCUCAUGUCUCGUAUUCUCUUUUUAUUUUCAUUCUUUUUUGUUGACAUAUAUGGGUUAUGUAUAUGUAUAGUGCAUGUUACCGGCGUUUUCUGAGUGUUGCGACGAAUUGAUCGAGAGGUGGGAGAAGCUUUUUGUUGCCGGAGGUAGUGGUGACGGUGAUGGUGAAGUGUCGCUGCAUCGGGAGGUGGACGUGUGGCCAGAAUUUCAAACGUUCACCGGCGAUGCCAUCUCCCGGACGGCGUUCGGGAGCAGCUUCGAGGAAGGGCGGCGCAUCUUCCAGCUCCAGAACGAGCUGGGCGAGAUCGUCGUCGACGUGGCGCAACGUGUACACCUUCCUGGAUACAGGUAUGUGAAUACAUAUUGUCCUAUUUGAAUGCAUAAAUAUCUUAUUUCGUAUAUUUUCUUAAUUUGUUUAGAUUAUGUUUGGAUAUCAGAAUAAGUUAUUUAAAGAUAACGUAUUCGAUCCAUAAGAAAUUCUUUCAGUAUGACUGUGGGUAAGGAGUUUGAUUUUUAUUUUUGUUUUAAAUUUUCCUAUUUAUAAUUCGAUAGAAUAAUAUAUUUUAUUUCUGAAAUAAUUUAUAUUAUUCUGAAAAAAAUAUACUUGAAAUCUAAGUAUAGUAUUUUAUUCUAAACAUUUGAUUACACUCUUUAUCAAUUAAAUAUAUAAAUUUUUUAAGCAAAUUAUAGGAAUGUAUAGAAACAAGAUAGAAUAUACAUAAAAAAACAAGGCCUCUUAUUCGAUAUAUCUUUUUAAUGUACUCAAAAAAUAUAUAGUUUUUUAUAGAUGAAGAGUGUGAUCGAAUACUUAGAAUAGAUAUUAUAUUCAAACUUAAAGUUUAUUUUUUGAAAUAAAAUAAAUUAUUUUUUAGAUAAAAUAUGUUAUUCUAUCAAAUCAGAGAUCCUAAGGUUUUUCAAUGAACAAAAUCUAAAUAACUAAAUUCCAAUCACAUAAUAGUGGAUUAAAAUAAUUAUGAUUAAAUGUCUAGAAUGAAAUAUAAUAUAUUUAUUGGAAUAAGAUAAAUAAUUUUAUAGAUGAAAUAUAUUAUCCUACUAAACUAUAAAUAUUAAGAUAUUUAGAGUAACAAAACUCAAGCCUCAUAAGUAUAAUUAUACUAGAAAAUUUUUGGGUUAUUUGCAUACACGUCCUUCCAAACAUAGUAAAUUGCGGAUAUAUCCCUGCAAAUUGGAAACUCCAUAAGUUAUCCCUGCAAAAGUCCUAAGUUAUGCAGAUAUGUCCCUACCGUCCAGAUCUGCUAGAAAAUUUUCAUUAACCACGGUUAAAAUGCUUAACUAUGGUUAAGUGUAGUGUAAAUUGACGUAUUUACCCUUCUUCCUCUUCCUCCUCUUCCUCUUCCUCUUCCUCGUCGCCGGCGAGGAGAUGCGGUGGCGACGGCGGCAAUGGUGGCGAACCCUCUUCCUUUUCCUCUUCCAUCUUCCUCUUUUUCCUUCUUCUUCCUUCUUCCUUCGUUUUCUUCCCUCUUCUUCGUCACCGGCGAGGGAGAAGAAUCUCGUCGAGGUCGGUCUCGGAGGAAAGGCGGGCGAGUUUCUGGACGAGAAGCUCGAGGGCGUUGUUGUCGACGAGGGCGGCGACGAGGGCAUGUGCGGGGUCGUCGUGGUCACCGAGGACGUCGGCGUCGGUGAGGUCGGUGGGGAGGGAGACGACGUCGCCGGCGAUGUCGACGAUGUCGUGGCCGAGAAGGCCGACGAGGGAGGGGACGCCGUUGAGGGCGACGAGCUCCGGGUAGAGCUCCGGUGCUCGGCGUUCUUCCCUCUUCUUCGUCGCCGGCGAACCUGACCCAGCGCCGCCGCCGCCGUCGUCUGCUUCGACGGUCCGAAAAGGAAAAGAAAGAGAAGGGAAAGAGGAAAACUUUUGGAGGGAUAUAUUUGUGAUUGUAAAAUGGUCAUUUCACGACUUCGCUGUUAAAAAACAAACAGCUCACUAACAGAUGUUAACUGCAGGGACAUAUCUGCAUAACUUGGGACUUUUACAGGAACAACUUAUGGAGUUUCGAUUUUGCAGGGAUAUAUCCGCAAUUGGCUAUGUUUGCAGGGAGCUGUAUGCAUUUGACCCAAAAUUUUUAGACAAAUACUCCUGGGUAACUUAUUCUGAUGUCUAAACAAAGCCUUAACUGCCGCUUGGUUAGAUGCAUUUAUACAUGCAGACUCAUCUAAAAUCACUAGCAUGCAUUCUUUAUCGUUCCUGUACGGAUUGAGUAGUAUUAAUCAUUUUAAAUUGAUGAAACAUGAAUCGAUGUAGUUUAUUAUAAAAUUUUGAAGUUUAGAGGGUAAAUAUAAUAGUUUAAACCAUAUAUAAUUUCCUCUUUAGAUCAAUUUAAAGCUAAAAAACGUUACUCUUUCAUUGACACAGGUACCUGCCCACAAAAACGAAUAAGCGGAUGGACAAAAUACUUGCAGAGAUUGAUGUGCUGAUGAGGGGAAUGAUUGAGCAAAGAGAGGAGGCCAUCAGAAAAGGAGGGUCCAGGAACACUGACUUGUUGGCCUUACUACUGGAGUCGAAUUUGAAGGAGAGUGCAGAGCAGGGAGGAUCCGAAACCGCGAUGACGACGGAGGACGUGAUCGGGGAAUGCCGGCUGUUCUACUUCGCCGGGCACGAGACGACGGCGGUCCUUCUGACGUGGACGCUGGUCGCGCUGAGCAUGCACCCGGCUUGGCAGGCGCAGGCUAGGGAGGAGGUGUUACGAGUGUUCGGCAGGAGUAAGCC